GACGAACGCUGGCGGCGCGCUUAACACAUGCAAGUCGAGCGAUGAAAUUUCGACAGAUCCCUUCGGGGUGAUGAUGAAAUGGAUUAGCGGCGGACGGGUGAGUAACACGUGAGUAACCUGCCUUUGACAUUGGGAUAGCCUCGGGCAACUGGGAUUAAUACCAAAUGACACUAACUGAUCACAUGAUCAAUUAGUCAAAGAAAUUCGGUCAAAGAUGGACUCGCGGCUGAUUAGCUAGUUGGUGAGGUAACGGCCCACCAAGGCGACGAUCAGUAGCCGGCCUGAGAGGGCGAUCCGCCACAUUGGAACUGAGACACGUACCAAACUCCUACGGGAGGCAGCAGUGGGGACUAAUGAACAACGGGGGAAACACUGAUGCAGCGACGCCGUGUGAGCGAAGAAGGCCUGCGGGUCGUAUAUCUCUUUUAUGAGGGAAGACAAUGACGGUACCUCAAGAAAAAGCCCCGGCUAACUACGUG
rnacentral:rRNA from 1 species